ACGCACGCUGGCGGCGUGCCUAAUCCAUGCAAGUAGCACGCUGAAGGAGGAGCUUGCUCUUCUGGAUGAGUUGCGAACGGGUGAGUAACGCGUAGGUAACCUGCCUGGUAGCGGGGGAUAACUAUUGGAAACGAUAGCUAAUACCGCAUAACAGUAGAUGUUGCAUGACAUUUACUUAAAAGGUGCAAUUGCAUCACUACCAGAUGGACCUGCGUUGUAUUAGCUAGUUGGUGGGGUAACGGCUCACCAAGGCGACGAUACAUAGCCGACCUGAGAGGGUGAUCGGCCACACUGGGACUGAGACACGGCCCAGACUCCUACGGGAGGCAGCAGUAGGGAAUCUUCGGCAAUGGACGGAAGUCUGACCGAGCAACGCCGCGUGAGUGAAGAAGGUUUUCGGAUCGUAAAGCUCUGUUGUAAGAGAAGAACGAGUGUGAGAGUGGAAAGUUCACACUGUGACGGUAUCUUACCAGAAAGGGACGGCUAACUACGUG
rnacentral:rRNA from 1 species